GAAUUGUCUCUUCCCUUCUGUGGUGGGGGGGCAGGGAGGGAAGGGGGAGGAGGAGGAGGAGGAGGAAGGGGGAGGAGGAGGAGGAGGAGGAGGAGGAGGAGGGGAGGGGGCUCGUCCCGUUCUCUUGUCCUUUUCGAAAAUGUAGAGCUAAGCUCGGCGUUGCCGAGGAUGCUGCGCGCCUUGUUUAUCUGGCACCCGGGGGGAGGGAAGGGAGAGGAGAGGAGAGGAGGGAGGGAAGCGGGCAGCGCUGGCUGGAGGAGCAGCUGCAGUGCAGUGUCAGGAGAUGAGGAGAAGGGAGACAGGGGAGCGAGGGGGGCGAGAGGGAAGAGAGAGGGGGAGAGGGGAGGAGGAGGAGGGAAGAGAGUGAAAAGAGUAAGACGGGAGGAGGAGAGGACAGAGUGAGUGGGAGAGGAGAGGAGGGGAGAGAAUGGGAGAGGAGAGGAGGGGAGCGAGAACGAGUGAGACAGAGGAGGAAGGGGAGGGAGGGGGAGCGGGAGGAGGGAAGGAGGGAGGGAGCGAGCGGUGUAAAUGGUGGGCGAGGGAGCGAGGGGGAGAUGAUUCACGCCGCCUCCGAGCCCCCUCUGCUCCCUGCCUGCCCUAGCGCCGCUGCCGGGCUCUCAUGCUCCCCCUCGCUGCCGGGCUGGGGCUGGGGGACGCGGGGGUGUGAGUGUGUGUGUGUGUGUGUGUGUGUGUGUGUCUGGGGGCGUCCCUGGCUGCGCGGCGGGGCUCCGCUCCCGCCCCAGCCCCAGCCUCGCCGCCUCCUUCGAACGCCCCGGCAACCGCCUGCCUCGGCCGGCCGCGGGCACGGGCCCGCCGACCUCGGCUGCGCCGCAGAAACCCCCGAGGCAGGAGAGAGAAUAUUGUGA
rnacentral:lncRNA from 1 species